CAGCCGCGUAAUUCCAGCUCCAAUAGCGUAUAUUAAAGUUGUUGCAGUUAAAAAGCUCGUAGUUGAAUUUCGGGGUUAGUAGGUUGGUCAUGCCUCUGGUAUGUACUGGUCUCACUGAUUCCUCCUUCCUGAUGAGCCGUAAUGCCAUUAAUUUGGUGUUGCGGGGAAUUUGGACUGUUACUUUGAAAAAAUUAGAGUGUUUAAAGCAAGCUAACGCUUGAAUACAUUAGCAUGGAAUAAUGAAAUAGGACGUUCGAUCCUAUUUUGUUGGUUUCUAGGAUUGACGUAAUGAUUAAUAGGGAUAGUUGGGGGCAUUAGUAUUCAAUUGUCAGAGGUGAAAGUCUUGGAUUUAUUGAAGACUAACUACUGCGAAAGCAUUUGCCAAGGAUGUUUUCAUUAAUCAAGAACGAAAGUUAGGGGAUCGAAGACGAUCAGAUACCGUCGUAGUCUUAACCAUAAACUAUGCCGACUAGGGAUCGGAUGAUGUUAAUUUUUUAAUGACUCAUUCGGCGCCUUACG
rnacentral:misc_RNA from 1 species